AGAGUUUGAUCAUGGCUCAGGAUGAACGCUAGCGGCAGGCCUAAUACAUGCAAGUCGAACGAAGAACGCCGGCUUGCCGGCGGGAUUAGUGGCGCACGGGUGCGUAACGCGUGAGCAACCUGCCCAUAUCAGGGGGAUAGCCCGGAGAAAUCCGGAUUAACACCGCAUGACAUCGCCUUUUCGCAUGAAUUGGCGAUCAAAUAUUCAUAGGAUAUGGAUGGGCUCGCGUGGCAUUAGCUAGUUGGCAGGGUAACGGCCUACCAAGGCAGCGAUGCCUAGGGGCUCUGAGAGGAGAAUCCCCCACACUGGGACUGAGACACGGCCCAGACUCCUACGGGAGGCAGCAGUAAGGAAUAUUGGUCAAUGGGCGGAAGCCUGAACCAGCCAUGCCGCGUGCAGGAAGACUGCCCUAUGGGUUGUAAACUGCUUUUACACGGGAAUAACCGCCGCUACGCGUAGCGGCCUGAACGUACCGUGGGAAUAAGGAUCGGCUAACUCCGUGCCAGCCGCCGCGGUAAUAC
rnacentral:rRNA from 1 species